rnacentral:rRNA from 1 species
UGGGGAAUUUUGGACAAUGGGCGCAAGCCUGAUCCAGCAAUGCCGCGUGCAGGAUGAAGGCCUUCGGGUUGUAAACUGCUUGUGUACGGAACGAAACGGCUCUGUCUAAUACAUGGGGCUAAUGACGGUACCGUAAGAAUAAGCACCGGCUAACUACGUGCCAGCAGCCGCGGUAAUACGUAGGGUGCAAGCGUUAAUCGGAAUUACUGGGCGUAAAGCGUGCGCAGGCGGUGAUGUAAGACAGGCGUGAAAUCCCCGGGCUUAACCUGGGAAUUGCAUUUGUGACUGCAUCGCUGGAGUGCGGCAGAGGGGGAUGGAAUUCCGCGUGUAGCAGUGAAAUGCGUAGAUAUGCGGAGGAACACCGAUGGCGAAGGCAAUCCCCUGGGCCUGCACUGACGCUCAUGCACGAAAGCGUGGGGAGCAAACA